AUUCAUUUUCUGGCAUCUAACCCUGAGACAAGGGAUCUAAAAAGACAGAUAGUGUAUUUUCUGGGAUCUUUGUCCAAAGCGUUAACAAUCAGAAAGGACAGAGAGCAGGAUGUAAGAGUCAAACAGGGAAAGGAGGGAAACUAAAAGUGGAACAACAGCUGUUAGAUACUAAGCAGAUUUUAAAGCAUAGUGAAUACUUCGACCAGCCUGAGACUGCAGAGAUCAGUGACAGAAGGACAAUGAGCAGUCAGAACUGGAAUCAUGAAGAAUUUCUGAGGUCCAAACUAAGCCCGUACCAUAUGAACCUGUGGGCACAGGAAAUGAACUACUAACCCUACAGGAACUGAAUGUUCUACUCUUAGGCAUUUUUUAGAAAUGACUCCAGUGUCCUCUGUCCUGAAGAGCACUGAUUUCAUCACUCCAAGGCCAAAUAAGGCACAUUUACUUUUUAAAUGCUUAUCCUUCUGUUCCCUGUAGGAAUAUUUCAAUCAAAGGUUUUUCUGGCUCUGAUAUGAAACAAUUUAUUCCUUGACGGCAAAGAGUAUAUUCAAGAGUCAUUUGUAUUUAGAAGACUUAAUACAAAAAUGACACAACAAAGUUUUGUGUUCAUACCAGUUCUGAUAGAGGAAAACGAUUAAAUAAAUUCCUAGUACAAGCGAUUUUCAUUCAGUUGAGGCUCCGGAGAAGUAGGAGCUGCUUGCCAUGUAUGAACUAAUCUAUAACUAGAAGCCUGAGGAGAAUCAACUCAAUGCCUCCAGUGACUGCUCUUUCUGCGUCAGGUGGCAACACUGUCACUAAAUUAGAAGGAAGAAGCUCCAAGAAAUCCAGCUGAGUAUGUGUGGAGAAUAUCUGUGCACUUUUGGCACCACCACCACCAAUAAUUUUUCUUUUCUUUUCCCAUUGUCUAGAUUCUUUCAGCUCAUUACAGCCACAUAAGAUGUAGAGCCAGUCAUAUAUGAAACUCAUGGUCUCAUGGUGUUAAUCUGUCCCACAGACAGAUGUCCAAAAAAGAAAGAAGAGGGCACAAAAAUGAAUAAAUAAAUAAAUAGAUAGAUAAAUAGAUAGAUUCUGGAGGAUGGUAUGAACAAGUUGUAGAUUUUAACUUGUAGGUAUUUAUAUUUCUUAAUGACUCAAACUUCAAUUUCUUUCAACUUAAAAGUUUUAAAAUCUAAUAACAUAUAUAUACACAUACAUAUAUUUGUCUGACAAUGCUGGAGAAUUUUAAAUUUGAAAGUAUUAUUACGAUAGUCUGAAAAACAGCCAUACUUUAGAGGGUUUUUUUGGACUGUUUCAGUUAAGAAAAGUAGUCAAUGAUGGGGUCAUGCAUUUAUUUGACACAGCCAUUUUCAUUCACUAAAAAUAAAGAAAGUGCUGUUUCUCUGAGAACAGGAAUAAACAAAUUACAGGAGACAAGUUCUGUGCUCAAAUCCUCAAGGGCUGUUCAGACAGGAGCUGACCUAAGCCUUCCCUUUGGGUUCCUUUCAGGACAACAUGUAUUUUGCUUUCCACUAGCUGUGUUCAUACUGUCUAGUUGACAUGAAAAGCUUCAUGAGAUUUUCUUCAAAAGUACAUAUUAGUAUAAUCAUAAGUGAGGUAUAAAGACUAAAUAAGCAGAAACCUUAUUCUAUACUUCUAUUCUUUCUGAAUGUUGUUCCUUGAAUACUGAACAGAACUGCUAUUUUUAGGCUUGUAAACACUCAGCUGCAUGUUAUCUUAUAGCUUCCUGAUCACUUACUGACAGCUUUUGAUUUACUUUACGGCUUUUUUUUUUUUAUUUUAUUUUAUGGAGUUUUAUUUGUGCAAAAAUAACAAUAAUAAUAAAAAUAAAAAUAAAAAAUAAAAAAGAACAUAAGUAAAGACAUAAAACACAAAUGAGCAAGCAGCACUCUUCAGUUUGCACAUACUGUAACCUAAAAUGUAGUGACAACAAUAAGCAAUACAUUGUCAAAGUAGGGUUUUUUUUUAUUUUUAAACCCAUUCCAGGGUGCACAAAUGGGACAUCCUAUUUAGUAAUGGUGCAUUAGCUCUCUUCAUAACAAUAAACACAAAGUGGGGCUCAGGACACAAAAUCUUUUAAUCACAUUGGAUAGCUCUAGAAGAUAAGGAAUAAAUGAACAAAACAAAAAAUACAACAAACACAUCCAUUCUGAUAACUUUUUUUUUUUUUUUUUUUUUUUUGAGCUAUUCUGUAAACAAUGAUCUGUGCCAGAUGUGCGACAGCAACAGUAUCUCCCUCCAUUCACUUAUGCGGGGAAAUAAGCUGUCAUUUGUCUCCUUUGUGGCUGAAUACUGAAGAUGCCUUACUCUUUAUUCAGCAAAUUACAUUCUUUAACAUCCCAGUGCGAAGUCCUACUGAAAAAAAAAAAAAAAAAAAAAAAAGGGCAUAAAGAAGAAAGUUAUUAUCACAAAAUGAAAUUGGAAACAAUGCCUACUCUUCAUGAAAUGUUCUGUCAUAAUGAAUUCUCUUUGUCAGAAAAAUCAGGAAUUCGCACAAUGGGCAGAUAUCAGUACAUGAGAACUCUCUAUUGGUGUAUUAAUCAUUAUUUAGACUGCUUCUAAUAUGAUAUAUGAAUGCAAUCAAUCGCAUACAUUUUGUCUCAAUAUAUUCUUCAGCCUCGUGAGUUGAAGGUAAAGCCUUUUAUGCAAACCAUUAAUGUAAAUGGUUUUCAUUACCAUUUUAUUUCAUCAAUUUGGAACACUUAUCCCUUGUACCAGUGUAAGCCUUGGGCCACAAAAGUGAUUUCAUAUAUAUAUAUUUUUAAUUACUUCUUCCAUUCACAGCAUUAGGCGAUACUUCAGAAAAAAAUACAUAUAUUUUAAGAAACACAAGCUUUUCCCAUCCAUUGCACUGAAAAAAAUUACAAGGACACCUUACUAAAUGUAUGUGCUACCAAAGUACUCAAUGGAAGUACAUUCAUGUUAAAAAAAUUGACUUAUUAUGUGCACAGGAUAGCUCAACACUAACUGCAGCAUUUAUUGUAAUUUCAGAGGCACAUAAGUUUUAAGUGAAAUUUGAAAUGAAAACCUUGUGAAAUUACUCAUUUUUCUAAUUCUUUCAGCACCAACUUUAUGAUGUCUAGUACAAAUACCAUAUUAGACCAUAGCAGUAAGUGUGCAAGCUAGCAAGGAAAAAUGUAUCCUACAUUAGUCCUACUGGGACAUGACUAGUCAACUAUUUCUCUACUUUCUUUUUUAUCUUCUGAAUUGAUAUUAAUAUACAACAAUAUUUAUUAAUUUAGAAUAUAUAUAUACAAUUCAUAUGUAUAUUUAUAUUUUAUAGAAAUGAUUACAAUUCACCCUAUAUUUUAUUUGUCAGAACAAAGAGGCUAGCUAGCUAAGAAAAACAAAUCAGAAAUAAAAAUAAAAGGAAAACUACAGUGAAACACUGAGACAAGAACAAACCUGCUACCACAAAUUAAAAUUAUAAAAAGUGAGUAAUGAAGGUUUCCCAUCUGAAACCUAAUCAAUUUGCCUUCAGACAAUCAAGGGGUGCCUGUAGCUUUGGGAAUUCAUAUUCAGAAUAAAAAUACAGGCAUUUGUAAAGUGUACAAGUUAAAGCUGUCUUUGCCUGAAUGAAAUAAUGGAGAUAGUAUUUUAAACAAAGUUACCAUAAAAAUUCGUAUCAUGAGCAAAAUUACCAACUUCAACUAUUUUCAUAGCUUGUGAAGGGAUAUUUUUUUCUAUAGUAUUUAUUAUUCUGGCAUAAUAUCAAGAUACUGUGAAGGAUGGGAUUAAUCUGAGUUUAUCAGAAGAGGCCUCUUUAAUAGCCAAACAGGCACUGAUGUGUCCAGUAAUCUAUCUAGAACUAGGGCAGCAGGACAAUAACUACUUGUUCAACAGCCAUAUUUAUCUUCAAAGAUUGUAGCAAUUAACUUAAAUGUAAAUGUCCAAAUUCUUCACGCUUCAAGUUAACAGACAGGAAUUUCUCUUGGAAGGAUUCAGUUUUCAUAAGUGACCAGGGACAGUUUUGAACACAUAAGUGUGCAUAUUUGUAAAUCCUUCAUUUAUUCCUACCCAUUGUUCUGCAGUCAAUUCUGCUUUCUCACAUAAAUUGCAUAUAUCAAAAUGUCUCAUAAAUGAUAUUCAGAUAGUAUCAUCUGUGAGAUUCUGGAAGAAUCAUUAAAAUUGGAGUCUCCAGGGUCUCAUUUAGACCUUAAUAUAAUGAAAAGUAAUCUUCAUUUCUAGAUCCUCAUGCUCUGAUAAUUCCAGAAAUAUGCUGUGUCCAAGUUGUUUGUUUCUUGAACAGUAGUAUUCCAGAAUGUUUCAUAAUAUCAUCUUGAAUAAUUAUGCAAAUAUUUUACCAUCUGUAUCAGUAAUACUUCAACUAACAUUAUCUUGAAACUCUUUCAUCAUUACUGUUUAGGGUUGUUGGCAUAUAGUCAUUCAAAAAUGAACUAAAAUGAACUUUUCUCUUACUCUGAAAUUUAAAAUCAUUUCUUUCCAGUUUUCCAUUCUGCAUUUCCAAAGUAAAUUAACUAAUAAAUGCCAGACUUGGUUACAUCUUGUUCUUGUUGGAAUAAAAAUAAAUAAAUAAAAUAAACUCAAUGUACUCAAAUAAUGCAGAACUAAUUGUGUUAUAUAUGACAUUAUUUUAUAUAAUUAUAUUCUCUUCUUAGAUUACACCGUUCUCCAAACACUAGCUUAGCACUGCUUUUAUUUCUUUGAGAGAUAUACUUUUCAUUUUUGUCUGUUGUAAAGUAACUUUACUAAAAUAAGUUUGAUACUGUUGCACCCAGUAUUUAUAAAUAAGUAGUCACCAAAACCUGUAGCUGUAGAUACACACAUUUCUUCUAAUGAAUCCUUAUUCUUGUAGACUAUUCAAUAAUCUUUGAACAACGGCAUGUUUGUGACUAAGCUAUACUAAUAAAACAUCAAAUAUCUUAUCAAGAUAACUGAGCUUGUUGAGGAAAACCACAAGCCAGUAGCAGAAGACCUAAAAAAUAGAAGCAAUAGAUUAUAAAAGAAGCCCUGAAAAUAAAAACAUGGCAUUUGCACCAGUCACUAAAGAGAUGACAUCUCAUUAAUUAGAUAAAACCAGUUCUAAAGGUAAUCAGUGAAGAAAGAGCAAGUGGACGCAGGUAACAAAUAUGCAAGAAUAUUCAAGCUCAUUCCAGGUAGGGGAGAAAUCAUUGAUACAGUAACCACCAUUUUAUUUACUCUAGUGGAAAAGAUUGGUGAUUUUCCAGGAUAUUUUCCUUUUUUCUUGAAAACUAGAAAAAUCAGGUGUAGGAUGCAGAGGAGGAAAAGAAGAAUGUAAAUACCAUGGGAGAGAGGAGAUCAGUACAAAAAAAAAAAAAAAAAAAAAAAAAAAAAAGUGUUUCAGUUUUAACUAUUAUCGUCAUUGUCAAUUAACGAUAACAAGUGGAUGAUUUCAAAUAGUUUUAUCAGUAUUAUUCUGAUCAGACUAGUAAUAUUUAUUUGAAUAGACUCUCAGGGCUUUAACUGGACCACCACCAAUAAGUUCUUGGCUUUGUAUAUAUUCUUUUUAGCGUAGAUCACGUAAAAAUUACAGCGUUUUGUCUGGUACAUUACUUUGAGAAUUGGCUGUUAAAAACAGGAUGUGACAUGGUCUAAAUUUUUAUUUUCUCUUGCAGUAUGCACAUAGCAUUUAGCUAGAUCUUUAACAUGAAAUGAAAACAAAAACAAAAACAAGUUACUCUUCACCUAAAUAAAACAUACAUAAAAGCAUUUAAUCAAUAUUAAAAAGGAUGUGGAUCUUCCUUUCCCUUCAUAUUUAGUUUUACAUAGGAUACAUGUCAAAAGAAUACUGGAAUUUAUUCAAACACAAAAUGGUUUCUCCUUCAUUUUUUUCUUUUCAGAACCCUGGAGUGCAUGUCAUCAGGCCAUGUAGACUUGUACACAUUCCACCAUUCAUGAGGUGGUCUUGAACUUACUCUUUGCUUGCAGUAUGAAGGAUUUUGCUCCCCCACUCAUAACCUAGAGGUUCGAGGACAAAAGAGAUAUCCCACUCACCAACCAGGAAGAUCAAAGAGAAUACAACCUGUAUUCCUGAUCCCUUCAACAUCUUCCCAAGGAAUAUAAAGACUCUUCUAAUAUUCUUCAAUAUCUUUGUUGAAGUCUUCUAUGACUCAACUUGAAAGAAGAGGAGUGGAGGGUAGUCCUUGGGUUUUAUAACUGAAAACAAAUAGAUAAAUAAUUAAGAAAGAAAGAAAUUAAAGAGCCAGUAGAUGGAUGAUUAAUCUGAUAGACGAUUAAUGAAAAAAACUAUCAUCUACCCUUUUUUUUACCCAAUACUCCAGUACUUGCAUGCAUUAUUUUAAUAUUAUUUUUUACACACAAAUCUGGGGUAAUGAAGAGAUAUAUGUUGAAAUCCAUUUGACACUUUUAAUGCACCUGAAGAGCAGUUUGUUUACAGUGGGGAGAAAUAAGCUGAUAUAUCAGAACUAGUGUUUACUAGUUUGGUCAAGGUGAAACUAUUCAGAAGUAUAUGAGAAAAUAUUGCAGUGGUAAUGAAAGGAGAGACUGAAAGAUGGAUAAUGUAACAUAAACUUUAAUUCAAAAAUAUAACUCUGAAUUACUUUCAAGGUUUUGAAGCUGCAAAUCUAGGUUCUUAUUCUCAGUAUAUUUAGGAAGAUUUUAAUACAUUCAUCAUCUCAGAAGUGUACAACAGCUACAGACUGUUGGAUUCUCAUGUCCAGAAUUUUCUCAGUGUUAAUAGGUUGGUGCCCUUGCCUAGUCAGCUGUGCUGCACUUAUAUGUGUAUGUGCACAUCUAUGUUUAACUUUUCUGUACGUGGUUUGGUUAAAAAAUAACUGCAGCAGAAUGACUGAAAAAAGCAUUUAAAUUUACAAGUCCAAACAAAAGAAUAAAAGAUGGAUAUUAACUGCUACAGGAAUGAUAUAUGCAUUCUUACAAAACUGUACUUUAUUACUGAUAUGGCUUUGCAUAGGGCAUUAAAUAGAACUUUAUAGAAAUGAGAAAUGCAAGUACUUAAAAAGUAAAUUAAAAAACCUAAAGAGAUUUCUGAUUCAUCACACUAUGUCCUGUUGUGUUUUUUCACUGUUGAUAAGCAAGCUGAUAACACAUUUUCUUUUCUGUUUUUGUGUUUUUUUUUUAUUUUACCCAUGUCAAAUAAAAAUAAAAUGGUUCUUCAGAUUUUCGAAAAAAAAAUACUGUAAUUACAGCAGAGGAAAACAUCAUGUUCUUUCAGCUUUCAAUAUUUUUUGAAAUGAUUAUCAUUCCAAAAUGUUGUUUUUUUAUGUGUUUAAUAUUUAUUUUCUGUAACAAAGGGCAUACUUUAUCAGGGACUAAUGGAAAUGACACUAAAGAUUAUAAAAAGAAAAUCAGAUUAUUUUCUCAGUGUCUGCAUGUUGUAUUGGAAGUAUUAAUCAUUGAGCAAUACAGAAAAUUUAGCAAAAUUUCUGGCAUGAAAGGCUACAAAUGGCAAUUACCACUGAUAAUCUCUAUAAAGCUUUAUUACCAGUAUAUAUAUGUGAGCAUACAAAAAGAUCACAAGAAGGAAGCUCAAUGCACAGCAGAGAGAGAAGACCAGAUGUCAGUUUUAAUCACAUUAAAACUUAUGCAGCCUUCAGAAAUGGUAGUAAUCUCAAUUUCCCUUCUUGCAAAAAGUUCCACUGGAUAGCAUUUUUAUGAGAGUUACUUUCAAUUAUAGCUUUAGAUAGAAAUUCUGGGUGUUAUAAUUUGCCUUUUUGACACAUCUGCUCAAUUAUGAGUUCUUUGUUUGUACUUGAUCUCUGCUCUCUAGGUAAUAGUUUGUUCUGGUAAAUCCUACUGAUAAUACAUGAACAACAAAUUAAGUCCUGGAUGUAGUAAGUACUACCUUUUUUUUUUUUUUUCUUCCUUUUUUUUCUUUCUUAAUCAAUAGAUUCUUACAUAAAUAUUAUGGUUUUAUGAAUUUGGUUAUUGGUACUCCACAUCAUAACAUCAUGUAGUGCACUAGGAGUUAAUUCCUUGUUUAAAAAGAAAAUAAACAACAAGAAUUCUAAAAGAUUUUAAAGUUAUUUUUGUUUUAAUUAUUAUUUUUAUUUUAAUAAAACUGUAGUAAAAUCUUUCCCAACCCAGUGUUUCACAGUAUAGUUACCUCUUACUACAUGGAGCGUCACAAUUCUUUGGCCUUUUGGUAGUCACUUGAUCACAGACUUAAGUUAAAUGCUUAUGUAUCAUUCCUGAAUUUGCCUUCAUGUUAUUGUAAAAUACAUACAUAUUUGUCUUACAGUAUGUACAAUUAUAGUGGGUUUUGCUCUAUUUUAGUAUGCUUCUGUUGGGCUCAAGGCAAGCCAAUAUUGUGCCCCGAUUAUUGCAUUCCUAAUUUAAAAUGCUAUGGGCCUCUACUUUCACUAAAGUACACUCUUAAAAAGUAGUAAUGUUUCUUACAGAAUGAUACCUGUUAUAAAUAUAGUAACUAAGCAUUAACUUGGUCUUGAAAAUGUGAGACAUACCAAAAAUAAAUUGCAAUAAAUUUGAAUCAUUUUUAAGAGCUGCCAAAAAGCAUAAAUGUCACAACAUCAUUUUCCCAUUAUAGUAAUUGAAUUUCUUACUUCAAGUGUCUUUGUAAUUGCACAGUUUUAAAUCACUGUGUUAAAAGCAAAAUCUUGGUUAGCAGGAAAUGGUUUUCUCAUGGAUCAUUGGAGGGAUCGAGACCCACCAGCUUGGAAAAGGGAGAUAAAAUGGGACAAUCAAACGUUAGCAGAAGCUGGUCGCAUUGAGCCUUUAGUUUGAUCACCACUAUCUGUUCUACAUUCUUAUUAAGUGUUUCUAACUGCCUUCUAUGAGAAUGCCCUCCCUGUUUCGUCCUCUGUGUGUGAAAUUCAUGUUGAACCAGCCAUUAAGAGAAGAGGUCUGAGUGCCAGCUAUUGGGUAGUGUCAUGCUCUAUGGUUGUGUUUGUGUGAAACUUCUGGAGAACUUAAAGCCAAUAACCUUCAUGUAUUUGGUCUAACUAUAACACAAGGGAAGGUGAAAUAUAAUGUAGCGAACAAAAACUUAAGUACGAUUCAGUACAAUAUAUAUAUAUAUAUUUUUUUUUUCCAUUUCCUUGUGGUAACUUCUACAGGGAAAAAAUACUUUCUUGAUAAAUUCUGAACAUUUCCUACUCUAUGAAAUAAAUAUCUUUGAAAGUUUGAAAUUUCUAGUGACUGUCUAAAAAAGGCGUAUUUUGAUUCUUUCUGUAAAUAAACAAUGAGUGAAGUGCAUACUACCAUACUGAGAUUAAUGACAAUUCCUAUCAACUUCCUUUGCAUUAGAAUAUUCCUUCAAACAUUUGUACAAAAGUCUGGUCUAGGCAUUAAGAAAACAUAUGUGAAAAGAAUGUGUUUCUUCAAGUUCAACUAAUUAUGUCAAAUCUACAUUUAUACUAUAGAUUUGGAGAGUAGUGUAUAUAUAUUAUAAAUUCUACAUAUGUGUUGCAUUAAUGCACAAUCCUAAAAAAAAAUGUUGAAUUAUCUAUUUUUGUACAAAUAUAGUAUGGUCAGAAAAUUCUGUUUGCAAUAAUCACAUUGGCAUUGAGAACUGAAUAAAAUACAUAUUUAUAGGUAGAUUAAAAGAAAACUAUCUUCUCCAACCAAAAGUAAAUUUUACCACUAAUGAUAUAACAAAAACACACUUUUUUUUUUUUUUUUUUUUUUAAGAGAAAAAUAUUUUAAAAAUGCUGGUAGUUACAGCUAUGAAACUGCUAUAUACUACAUGAAAUCAUAGUUAGAGCCAGAUGACUAUAAAGCCUACACACCAUUUAACUACAAGUGUUUAGGAAAAAAGGUGGUUUCAGUUAGUUCAUUAGAUACAACAGUGCAGUUCUUUUCCAAUAGGCAGACCAAAAGAUUAUUAUUCACUACUAAAAUAAUGUUUAUCAAAAAAUGUUAAUGUUUCACAUAGUUUUUUUUUUUUUUUAAUAAUAUCAGUCUCUUUUUAAAUAUUGAGGACAAAUUGUUUUCUUGAUAGAAAGCUAAAUGCUUUAGAUCUCUUUCUAUGAGGGCUUAUCUGAAAAUAAUGUUUCCUAUGUUAUUAGGUUGGCUCACAGAGUCAGAGGCAAAUGCUUAUGGUAUAAAGAAUGUUGAACCUUCCUGCCAAUAUUCCAUUAAAUUUGCUUGCCCUGCAACAGAUAGCAGCAGAGGCGCAGUCUAACAAAAUGGCAUCUAACAUGGAAGUGCAUAUAAAGCAAUAGGUAUGCAAUUGAAUUCCUUCGUGUAGAAAAAAAAUGUCAACCAUUCACAUUCAUUGGCACUUACUGAACAUUUAUGGAGGCCAAACAGUGGAUGUAAGCAUAAUUGAGGUGGUGGGUGUUUCCACACUGAUGACAGUGAUAUGAAGACAAGGCACAUUCUGGACCGCCAUGCAGAUUUUUGUACGUGCUGCAUGCUGGCUCUUUUUCAUCGCUGGUGAAAAUUCAUAGCUAAUGGUGGUGGCUAUGUUGAAAAAUAGUGUUUUAUAGCCAAGAGGUUUGUCUAUCAAAUAGUGUUCUUGCACUCUUUGUAUCUGUUACAGUUUCCAUGGUAAUAAAUAGGAGGCAUUACUUACAGAACAACCUAGGUAAGAUGGAAAAAAAAAAGAUAUGUUGGCAUUCACAUUAACUGUAUCCUGUCAUAUGUGGUCAUUAAAAUUAAUUUUUAUGUUUUCAAAAGUUAAUAUGAAUAGAAUGUAUUGCUGUUGAUUUCUUAACUACUAAUGGUCUUAUUCCAAAGGGAUAUUUCAAUUACUUUCUUCCUUUGUAUUUUUUCCUAAAUAUAAUAGGAGUUCACAUUUGUUUCUCUGAGUGUAUAAUCAAAUCAAACGUUUAGAAAUAUGGCUGACUCAGGACUUUAAUAUAUUACAGCUCAAAUAAAUAACACAUGUACAGUUUUGUGUAAUUUUAAAAGCUGUGUGAAGAUGAGUGUGUUUUCAUUUGUCUGCUCCAGCAACAAAAUUCCUACAGAAUACAAUUUCAUCUCUGGCAGUAAAACAUGUAUUUUCAAAUGAAAGGACUCUUAGAUGUAUGUAAAGAACAAAUAGUCAAUUUGUUUCAAUCAACACCUCUUUGAAUAAAUAAAAUACAAAAAUUACUCAUAAUGUUGGUAAAGGAUUUGUAUAUUAAUUUUGUGUAUAUGUAUAUGUUCUUUGUGUUGGUAUGUAUGUUCAUGAAAACAUCUAUAUAUUUCCAGUACUUUUGAUUAAAUGACAUAGAUGAAAGCUAAAAAAGUCAAAGAAAUCCUGCUAGAAUGUUCUAAAAUAACUAGCUAACUAACUAACUAAAUAAAUAAAUAAGAGGAAAAAAAGUGAGAAAAGAAGAAGAAAUUAGAAUGAAAAAGAAAAACAAGCAAACAAACAGAAAUCUCACAACUGAAUGAUCUAUUUAUACUUGGCAUUCAAGUAAAUUACUAGUAGACUUUGCCUGAGGGUUUUCAGUUUUCCACAUUAACCUAUACAUUCAGUUGUUUGUGACUGAUACUUACUUAUUCUUCUAGAAGUCAGUGCUGCUCACGUAUUACAGUCUGAUAUUUUCUUCACAAUAUAUCUUUAGCCUUUUAUAUAUUAAAGCAUAUAUUUCAUGAAAAAAAAUAUUUAACUUUAUAAAAAAGAACGAAUGUAACAAAAUGACAGCUGUCUACCUACA
rnacentral:lncRNA from 1 species